CAAAAACAUGGCUCCUUGAAUUUUAAUAAUAAGGAGUCGGACCUGCCCAGUGAAUUUUUUAACGGCCGCGGUACUCUGACCGUGCAAAGGUAGCAUAAUCAUUUGCCUUAUAAUUGAAGGCUAGUAUGAAUGGUUUGACAAGAAUGAAGCUGUCUCUUUAUAAUUUAAUAGAAUUUUAUUUUUAGGUGAAGAAGCCUAAAUAAAAUUAAAAGACAAGAAGACCCUAUCGAGCUUAAAAGAAGUUAAUAGAAUUAAUUAAUUAAUAUUUAUAAAAAAUUAUCUAUUAAACAUUUUAGUUGGGGCGACUGAGGAACAUAAAAAGCUUCCUUUAAAAUAAAAUUAAUAAAUCAAACUAGAAUUGAUCCAAAACAUUUUGAUUAAAGAAAUUAGUUACCGUAGGGAUAACAGCAUUAUCUUUUUUAAGAGCUCAUAUCGAAAAAAAGGUUUGUGACCUCGAUGUUGGACCAGAAUAUCCUAAAGGUGCAGCAGUCUUUAAGGGUUGGUCUGUUCGACCAUUAAAAUUCUACGUGA
rnacentral:rRNA from 1 species